CUCCCAAAACAAGUGGCUAUAAGAAUAAUGUAUUUAGUGCUAAAAUUUCUAAAGCUGAUAAAGAGAUUGUAGCAUUGUUCCCUAUUUAUGCAAUACAUUUUAUUUAGUUUUAUGUGUUGCAAGAGUUUCCAGUUCCUAAGACCUAGGACCCUGUAAUGAAAUGCUACAUUUUACAGGACUUCUUUGUUGUUGUUCUCAGACUAUUCCUUGUAAACUGAAUAGCCUGAUAAAGAUACUGGUGAAGCUCUCUAUGGAACUGUGAUUGGUUUUAGCUGUAUUUCAAAGAUGAUGACUGAAUAGCAGUCUUUCCUGAUAGCUUCAGCAGCUGAAUACUCCAACAAAAUUGGUGUUUAUCAUCAAAUGAGAGUAGGUAUCUGGUUCUUCACCAAAUGAUAGCUGAUUUUUCUUCCAUUGCUUGGUUUCACCUAACACUCAGAACUUACCUCACUGGCCCCAAAAGAAAGUCCAGUGUCUAUAACUGCAGGGCAGACUAGGCAAUAAGACAUAUUUUCCAUGCUGUCCCACUGAUCUAAACACCACCGAGUUGCACUACCACCAACAGUUAAGAAAAAUGCUGUUCAUUCUCCAAAUAUGAUAGAAUGGACUCUUCUUUCUCAUGGACCCAAGAGUAUGCACACACACAAAAAUAUCCUUCCAUUCCCCCUUUCCAACAGACACUUAGAAUCUUCUUGAGAGGAGUGAGAAACUUCAACACCCUUCUCUUUCACUAUAGAUUCUGCCCUAUGAAGAAGAGUGCUAGUGUUAAUACUUGCUUGUGUCUCAUCUAUGUGCUUUGAGCCUUAAUAUCUGAAUAUAAAGCCAGUUAUCCACCAAGGUGAAGGACCUGUUCAAUUUGUGUUUACUGACCUAGAACACAAGUGCUGAUGGAAACCAAUAUAUAAGAGAAUUUUAUUGACAUCUACAGUGAAAAUAAAUUAGGUGCUUGAACAGAAAGUUGAAUAUGCCAUCUACUUUGAGGAAUCAAAAAUAUCCUAUUUCACCUUGUACAAUGUCAAAGCCGGGCCACCAGUGAAUCAUUCAAAAGUCUGUGUCAAUUGAUAAUAAAUUAUGCGUUGACACCCUGAAUGAGAAGUAAACAUCUCUCUAAUCCUGCUUUUCCAUUGCAUUUAUUGCCUGAUUUAAAAAAAAAAAAAAACUUCAUUUUUGUUUCAUUCAACUCAUAUUCUAACAGAAGAUUCUACCCAUCUAUGCUGCGAAAGCAACCAAGGCAAGUAACAGAGCCUUGGUCUUAGAGAGUGCUGUUUGGGCUUAAUAAAGAGGAGACUAGUGUGUGUCUAGGUAUUCAAUUCUAUUUUUCAUGUUGUCCAUCAAGGAAUUUUUAGAAAUUGAAAUAGGACUUCAUAAUAUAAUUUAAAACGUUUAAAUAUUCUUGGGUAUGGGAGAUAAAAUCCCAGGAGAAAGUAUGAUCUGGGACAUCCAAGGUUAUAAUAAGAGGGUGCAGGGUCAAGGAGAUGCAGGACAACAGUCCUGGGCAGGGAUCAUCACUUCAUUCACCAAGCGACAGAAUAAUGACAUAAGCCCAGGCAAAUGAGGUUGAUUACUAUGCAAAUGCAACUGAACCCAAUCUCUGCUCCUCUAAACAUAUAGAUGCCCUUAAGCAUAGACUGUGUAGAGACUCUGGGAGCCGCCACCAUCUAGUCUAAUAGUGCUUAGUAAUGAGCAGCAGCAAACCUCUGAAGAAGUCUUCUGUGGAGCUCAGGAUCACAGAAAGCUUCACCAUCUCUCAAAUAAGUCUUGAGCUAAAACCAUAUGAUGAUCAUUCUAUCGCUAGUGUUUAGCUCUUAUUUAACACUGACCAUAUGAAGUGGAUUAUUAAACACUCAAUUUGGAAGCUCUGUUUUACAUUUUUAUACAAUAUCCUAUUUGUUUCUCAUGGCAGCCCUGUAUGAAGCAGACGCAAUUAUUUCUCUCGUUGUACUAACUGAGCAAACAGGAUCUCCAAGAGUACAAAUGACUUUCUGGAUCGUAUAUAGCAGCAGCAUAAUUAAGAGGACAGCAUAACUCCUUUCCUUGGUCAACCCAAGCCUGACAACCUUGCAAAAUGGUGCAUGGGUAUUUUCAGAGUCUGUGCACGUGUGGUUCGACAGCUUCUGGGAAAAUAAAUGUGAAAAUUGCUUGGCUUGCACGGAGUAGAAACAUUUUUUUUUAUUUCCUGAGGUGUAGGCUGUUGACAGAAACUGGACCCUGGAGAAGGGAAGCGCUUGAUUUAACAAACAAACAAAACCUAACCUUCAUGGAAUAUUCAGCUUUCUUGCCACUAAGUAUGAAGGCCUUAGAGGCAUGAGCGGACUGGCCACGGCUCAGGCUUUACAGAAAUAAGUCUCUACAUCUGGCCUAUUGAAUGCUGAAUAUAUUGUUGCCUGGUAAGAUGAAGGCAUGGAAACUGGGGUGCAUGGUUUCCUUGGAGCUUUCACUCCUGUGGUUACAGCACAAUGCCAAUUGGGCCUGCAUUUAGGGUUGACAGGAAUUGAUGUGAAUCUGUUCAAACAAUUUUCCUGUAGCAUCAGUCAAUUACACAGAAAAUGUAAGCACUCCUGCAAUAAGUCUGGCACCCAUGCUGUUACUUGGAUAAUAAGUAUGUGUGUUUUCCUGAUUAUAUUUGGGUAAAUGCUAAGGUCCAGGCACCGAAGAAGAAAAGAAAGUCAAUGGGAAAUUACCAAAGGAUUGGGUUUGCCUGAAGCAAAUAUCAUUCCAAAUAAAAAGAGGAGGAGAAACAGCCAAACUCAUUUUGCCACUGGAGUUCUUUGGGUGUUUAGGCUCUGUAAUAUACUGUUAAUGUGAUUAAAAUGGAGGCAUUCAGACUUAAACGGUUGUUAAAAUAAAUUAGGGACAUCAAAAUUGGCAGGGUUUAGGUUUUGGAGAACUCCAUUCUGUCAAUCUUCCCUGGAAUUUAACCACUCCAAUAUUAAGCUAUUGUUUUUCACGAUGUGAAACUUGGCAGAGAACAAAAUGAACAGAGCCACAGCUUUGGAGAGAAAUCCACUGAAACUCAGCAAAGGACUGCUGUCUAAGAAUGUCUUUCUUAGAAGACCUAAGCUAAAACAGCUAUUAACUAGGUCAUGACUGUGUCUCAAGAAGGUUCUAACAAACAGUACUUGGGAAUAAAAAGGGCCACAUGUAAAAUAUCUACUGGGGAAAGAUCUCUGCUUUACAACGUUCAUGUACAGAGAAGAAAACGAAGUCUUCAUUUCCUGUGACACACCAAUGAUGAACCAUUUCCCUGGUCAGGUAAAAAGCAGAGUGAACUAACUGUAGGUCUGGAGUUCUAGUCAACUGGGGCCUUCCUUUUGUUUAGUUUCUGACCUUGGCCGAGUUAGUUCUUUGGUUCAGGAUUCUUAUUUGUAAAAUCAGCAUGAACAUGUCAGCUUCCAAACCGUUGUGGCUGAGGACAACCAGAGCAAAUGACUUUCAGAUGUCAAAAUGAUUUGAAAUUAAACGUCCUCACAAACAUGAUUUAAGAUACAGAGGUGUGCUGAGGGAAAUGGCCACGUGUUCACUGAGAAGGGCAGCUCACUGAAGAAGAAGAAACCAGGCCAGGAGGGAGAAGGGUCUCACACAGAGGCAGGAAUGACAGGUGCCAUAGCUGGUGGUGUGUAUGUGUCCUUUCCAACUCUGACUCCCAAGCACCCAUUUGAGUUGAAUGGCCACGUGGCCAGUUUGAGAUGAGUGUCUAGGCUGCUAAGGUGUGUUGUGGUUGUCGAUGUUGGGAAGCGUCUUUUUCUACCCCUAGAUUAUUUGGCGCAGCUGUCUCCAAUGUCUGCCUGCUUGAUCCUUCCCCCUUUUAGUGCUAAUAUAAUGAAGAGGAUGACUUUGAAAUGAUCCAAAACCCUAGUUGAUUCUCCAGCUGGCCAUAAUUGUGAGUCUUCGACCUCAAAAUCCAUACUAAAGUCUGUUGCCGCUAGAGCAGUCUAACAAGAGCACAGGGCUGGGAUAUGAACAGGGGGAGAACUGCAAGUGAAGGCAUUAGGUUAGAUUAAACCUUACCAAUGGAGAAACAAAAAGCUACUCUCUGGUCUCAGAGGCUGGCAAGAGCAAGCAAGAUUCCUUUUGAGAAUCAGGGACUCCACAUGGAUGCACUUCAGAAAACAUUAGCAGGUUUCUAAAUUGCUAAUCUCCUCAGUGUCCCCAAGAUACGUAGUCUUUCUGAAAUGGUUUGUGGCAUUUCAUUCCCAUUUAUACUUCAUUUAAGAUAUGUCCCUCAUCCUUGCCUAAUAUGAGUACAUUUCUAGGCACAAAAUCAACUUGGUGAUUUUUGCAUUUUAGCGCAUAUGAGCAGGUAUAUGUGCACAUCUGUAAAUGUGUAUAUGUAUAUGCAUAUAAAUACAUUGGUACUCUGUGGAUGCACUGGAACUUUAGAUGGUGGGAGGAAGAUGAGUGCCAUCUCGUGGAGAGCCCUACCAUUACAUUUUUCAAAUUGCCUCUCUUAAAACAUUUUUUCAAAAAAAAAUUCCAAACUACUAUUCUUUGGGGUAAACGUUUUCUUCUUCUCUUUUCAGGUUGCUUGCUUGCAUAAAUAAUAAGGGUCUUCUGAGUAAACAUCACACGAUCCGAUGUGUCCUGAUGCACAUGAGGGAAUGUACUGUGGAUGGAUAUGGAGAGUGUGGAGAAACUCUGAUGUUACUGGAUUUACGCCCAUCUCAUAAAUCAAGGUGAACAGGCAUUCAUCAUGAUGGUAGGUGUGUGAACUGGAAGGAGAGAAGCAGAUUCCUGUAUGGUCUCCAGAAUGGCAGAGAGAGAAGCUAUCUGAUAUUUUUAAGAAGAUCUGAGGUCAGUGGAGGAAGUAAGUGGUUUUAACUGGAAAAGCAGACUUGCCUAUCUGUACAUGUGUUGCACUCUAUCAUCAAUAAAAAUGCCUCUGUGAGACUUUCUGGUAAAUGAUGGAUACCCCCCCACACACCAUCUGCUGAGAAAGUC